rnacentral:rRNA from 1 species
CUUUCAACAACGGAUCUCUUGGUUCUCCCAUCGAUGAAGAACGCAGCGAAAUGCGAUAAGUAAUGUGAAUUGCAGAAUCCAGUGAAUCAUCGAAUCUUUGAACGCACCUUGCGCCCUUUGGCAUUCCAAAGGGCAUGCCUGUUUGAGUGUCA